AGCGAACGCUGGCGGCAGGCCUAACACAUGCCAGUCGAACGAACCUUCCGGGGUUAGUGGCGGAUGGGGGUGGCACACGUGGGAACGUGCCGUUAUGUAUGGGAUAACUCUGGGAAACGGGUGCUAACGCCGAAUGUGCCCUUCUGGUGAAAGAUUAAUCGUACUUAGUGCGGCCGGCGUCCGAUUAGCUAGUUGGUUGAGGUAAUGGCGCACCAAGGCUACCAUCAGUAGCUGGUCUGGGAGGAUGAUCACCGACAUUGGGAGUGAGACGCGGCCCAAACUCCUACGGGAGGGAGGAAUGGCUGAUCUAGCGAAAUCGGGUAAGUCAUGAAGGAGCUCGGCUGGGUAAACGAUGAAGGUCGUAAGGAAGUAAAAUUCUUUCACCGGGGACGAUAAUGACGGUACCCAAAGAAGAAGCCCCGGCUAACUUCGUG
rnacentral:rRNA from 1 species